rnacentral:rRNA from 1 species
AUGAUGCUUAACCCAGCCAAGUGUGUUUUUGGUGUGCUAGCUGGCAAACUAUUGGGUUUUCUAGUUUCAGAACGGGGCAUUGAGGCUAACCCGGAGAAGAUAAAAGCAAUCACCUCCCUGGCUAAGCCGGUGUGUAUUAAUGAUGUUCAGCUCGUGGCGGGUCGUAUUGCGGCCUUAAGCCGGUUUAUAAGCCAGUUGGGUGAGAAGGCUAUUCCUCUGUACCAGAUGAUGAAGAAGAUAGAUCACUUUGUCUGGAGUGAUGCUGCUGAUCAGGCAUUCGAGGCCUUGAAGAAACAAUUGGCUGAACCGCUAGUUCUUGCUGCUCCCAUUGACAAGGAGCCAUUGCUGUUAUAUGUGGCUGCCAAUAGCCGAGCUGUCAGUGUUGCCAUUGUGGUGGAAAGGAAGGAAACCGGCAAAGAAUAUCCAGUUCAACGGCCGGUUUACUACAUCAGUGAGGUCCUUAUUGAGUCCAAACAGAGGUAUCCGCAUUGGCAGAAGCUGGUGUAUGGGGUUUUUAUGGCUAGCCGGAAGCUUCAGCGGUAUUUUCUGGGUCAUCCUAUCACUGUGGUUAGUUCUGCCCCUUUAGGGGAUAUCGUUCAAAAUAGAGAAGCCACAGGUCGGGUAGCCAAGUGGGCCAUUGAGCUUGGGCCUCAUGGUUUAAAGUAUGUGACCCGUACAGUCAUCAAGUCUCAAGCACUUGUGGAUUUUAUCAAUGAUUGGACAGAGUUACAGACGCCUGAGGAGAAGCCGGAUAACACGUAUUGGACUAUUCACUUUGAUGGAUCCAGGCAGUUGGAAGGCUCGGGGGCUGGAGUUGUAUUAACUUCCUCACGAGGUGAUAAUUUUUCUUAUAUUCUCCGGCUGAUGUUCCCUUGUACUAACAAUGCAACUGAGUAUGAGGCCCUGCUCCAUGGUCUUCGGAUGGCUAAGGAGAUGAGUUUAAGCCGGGUGCGGUGUUUCGGCGACUCAGAUCUCGUGGCUCAGCAAGUUUCUGGCACUUGGGAUUCUAAAGAUCCACUCAUGGCGGCAUACCAUCGAGAGGUAUAA